UGGGGAAUAUUGCACAAUGGGCGCAAGCCUGAUGCAGCCAUGCCGCGUGUGUGAAGAAGGCCUUCGGGUUGUAAAGCACUUUCAGCGAGGAGGAAGGGUUCAGUGUUAAUAGCACUGUUCAUUGACGUUACUCGCAGAAGAAGCACCGGCUAACUCCGUGCCAGCAGCCGCGGUAAUACGGAGGGUGCAAGCGUUAAUCGGAAUUACUGGGCGUAAAGCGCACGCAGGCGGUUUGUUAAGUCAGAUGUGAAAUCCCCGCGCUUAACGUGGGAACUGCAUUUGAAACUGGCAAGCUAGAGUCUUGUAGAGGGGGGUAGAAUUCCAGGUGUAGCGGUGAAAUGCGUAGAGAUCUGGAGGAAUACCGGUGGCGAAGGCGGCCCCCUGGACAAAGACUGACGCUC
rnacentral:rRNA from 1 species